CAAGGCGGCGCCGCGCCCGAGUGGUUCCUCGAUACGGGCGCCACUUCCCACGUCGCUGGACCUCGUGACCCGGCGCAUCCUGAUGAGGUCCAAUAGUCACGGCGACCUAUACCCGUUCUUCGGCGACAUCGACGUCCAACACGCACUCUCCAUCGACCACAACCUAUGGCACGUUUGCUUAGGCCAUCCUAGCAAUAAGUCUAAUUCCCUUUUAGCCAAAGAUUUCUUGCCAACUUGUAAUAAUGACACGCCCGUGACGAACAUUCUAUGUUCGGCCUGUCACUUAGGAAAGCAGCCUCGUCUGUCUUUUUCUUCUUCCACAUCUUGUACUACAUCACCUUUUCAAUUAUUACAUUGUGAUCUCUGGACGUC